AGCGAACGCUGGCGGCAGGCUUAACACAUGCAAGUCGAACGGGCAUAGCAAUAUGUCAGUGGCAGACGGGUGAGCAACGCGUGGGAACAUACCUCUUGGUUCGGAACAACACAGGGAAACUUGUGCUAAUACCGGAUAAGCCCUUACGGGGAAAGAUUUAUCGCCGAGAGAUUGGCCCGCGUCUGAUUAGCUAGUUGGUAGGGUAAUGGCCUACCAAGGCGACGAUCAGAGCUGGUCUGAGAGGAUGAUCAGCCACAUUGGGACUGAGACACGGCCCAAACUCCUACGGGAGGCAGCAGUGGGGAAUAUUGGACAAUGGCGCAAGCCUGAUCCAGCCAUGCCGCGUGAGUGAUGAAGGCCCUAGGGUUGUAAAGCUC
rnacentral:rRNA from 1 species